GGGAGCGAGGAGGGAGGGAGUAGGCCGCGGCGCGAGGGAGGGUGGAGGAGGAAGACGCGGGAUCCUCGGGUGCGGCUGCUGACGACGAGGAGGUGGUGCAGCGGAGAAGGAGGAGGAGCGGCAGGGUAGCGAGCGCGCGUCCGGCAGCACCGGUGCGCGAAGCGCCCGCUUGGGCUAGAGGUGACGGACGAGACCCAAGCGCGCCCUGCCCGAGGGGGCGGAGGAGGAGGAGCGCCGCCUCCUGCUGCGGAUACCUCACUUCCUCCUACGGGUUUGGUACCAGCUCGACGACAACCGCCGGACCUACGUCCGCUACCACCGCCGGUCGCCCCCAGACCGCCCGCACCGCCGGCUGGCCAGCCCGUCGCUGGAACUACCUCCUCUUCCCUAGACCGCCCGUACCGCCGUCGACCUUCCCGUCGUCGUCUGACUCCCCGCAGCUGGCCAGGUCGUCGCUGGAACUGCCUCCUCUUCCCGGUCCGUCCUAAGCACGGGGACGUGGAAGUCCCUUUCUCGAAGAAGGACCUAGUGGUUUGACAUCGUCUAGUACACUACAAUUCGUACUCCUUUGACGCCUUCUCCUCUCACUACUACUGUGUACACGACUGAAGAUGAUGACGAUGAGUUCCCGGCGCUUGUCUGAUGAGCUGCUGCUUUUUGUACUUUAUUAGCCCGACCGAAGUUAGGUUGGCCCGUUAGGUCGUAAGUACUGCCAAGACGACUCCAGGGUAGACGUUGCGUUCCUGUUGAAAGACCAGUAGGGGUCACUUAAACAUCUACUUGUAGAGGUGUACUCUAGUGUACUCCAACACGACGAGUCCGGUUUGUCUCUUCUCUCCACCGUACAGUCGAUGAUGGUGGUCCCCUCGAGGUCGUCUCCGAAGUCCCCGGUUGGGACCCGAUUCAAGCAGUCGUUGUUGUUUGACGUGUUCCCCCUAUAGACGCAGAAGCUCGACUAGUUUCCGCGCUCCUUACUCUUCUUUCGGUCCUGCUGCUACUGGCAGGUACAACAAUCCUCCUUCUUCAGGCUUCCAGCCAAACGGAAUCACCCGAUACAAGGACGUCACACUCUGCACGUGACGUAUAAAACCGUACAAUAUACGUCACAUCUAUACCCGUUCACCGCCGUCGACCUUCCCGUCGUCGUCGGACACCCCGCAACUGGCCAGGUAGUCGCUGGAACUACCUCCUCUUCCCGGUCCGUCCUAAACACGGGGACGUGGAGGUCCUCAUACGGUAACCGUGAAGGUUGUAGAUCGUCAUUCCAAGCAUUAAAUAAGUCCAUGAAGAUUCCAAGGAACGACGGGAUAGUAGAAGUAGAACAAUAAACCAACGACGAUGCGCCUGACACCACUAAAUGAUGGAAGACUAGAAGAGUGAUGAGUUAGUUCCAGGAAAGACUUUUCGAAGGCCUGCUAUACUCGCGAUUUUUCGAGGUCGAACAACAACUGCGACAACCUGAACCUAUGUCUAUACACUAAGAGUACACUAGGAAAACGACCUUCGAACGAUUAGAAUCCCCACGACGAUGACCACAUUUUUUACAAAAUAGCUUUCUUGAUUUCAUCAUCGAUUAGGUUCGUAACUUCUUCACUGCCUCUCCGAUGU
rnacentral:rRNA from 1 species